CAGGUCCAGUUUAUCAUCACAGGUAGGAGUAGAGAAUGUCUUUUUUUUCACUUCAUCAACAAAUAUUAGUAAGUACUUUAAGUAGUAAUGUUAAUGUUCCCAAUAUUUCUGCUAACCCAGCAGUGAUAAUGUUGUCCGUUUGCUGUUUCAGUGAAGUGGAGGAAUUUAAUAUCAACGGAGGUCAGAAAAGAGACCAUUCAGGGUCCUUGAGGCUUCUGUCGUCCUCCACUGUGAAAUACAGAGAGAUGCGGAUGUUCAUUAUUGAGCUGUAGGCCGAUGUAUAAAAUAUUGAUUCUG